rnacentral:lncRNA from 1 species
GCCGCCUCAGGGAAGGGGAAGGAGGCCGCGGUUUCGCGUCCCGCCUCUAGCCUGGCUGGCCAUGGGGGCCUGGACGCAGUGGCCUCCCGAAUCCCCCAGGAAUCUUAAUGUCGCCAGAGGAUGCUGGGAGGAACACUGAGCCGACCUCUCCGUUAGGCUGAAGAUUGCACAAACCAUGAUAAUGGCCAGCAUGGAUGGAGGGAGCGUGUGAGAUGUGCGGGGCAGUGUGCUACGUCUCAGCCAACUCUAGGAGCCUGUUGAUGUGAUGGACUACAUUAAUUGAUUUUUGAAUGUUGAGCCAGCCUUAUGCAUGUGGGAUAGAUGCCUGUUGAUCAUGGCUGGCUGGAGUGCAGUAGUGCAAUCAUGGCUCACUGCAACCUCAAAUUCCUGGGCUCAAGGGAUCCUCCUGCCUCAGCCUCCCAAGUAGCGAGGACCACAGGAAGCAUGGUCAUGGCAAUACCUGGAGUCUCCACUGCAAGACCAGAGUGAUGGAGGCAGCAGAGCUCCUCAGCAGACCAGGAGUCUCCAGAGGCACUGCAGAAUGUCUAAGAAGCAACCUCAUUGUAUUCCCAAGACCUGGGAAUCCAGGUCUCGCAGAUAUGAUGAUACAAUCUAUAGCCAGUACAUCU